UACGUAGGGGGCUAGCGUUGUCCGGAAUCAUUGGGCGUAAAGCGCGUGUAGGCGGUUCGGUAAGUCUACUGUGAAAGUCGGGGGCUCAACCCUCGAAUGCCGGUGGAUACUGUCGGACUAGAGUGCGGAAGAGGCGAGUGGAAUUCCUGGUGUAGCGGUGAAAUGCGCAGAUAUCAGGAGGAACACCAAUUGCGAAGGCAGCUCGCUGGGACGUUACUGACGCUGAGACGCGAAAGCGUGGGGAGCAAACAGG
rnacentral:rRNA from 1 species